AAGCAAACAAAUUAGGCCAUAAAACGCUCUCUCUUUUAUUCCAAAUCGCAAAUCUCGAAAACAAAAACAAAAACAGAAAGCAGUCCUCUCUCUCUCUCUUUCUUUCUCUCUUUCUAAAUCUCUCUCUUUGCAAAUUUAAAAUCCAAUUUCCAUUUCCAUUCACAGAAAGAAGGAAAGAAGGAAAGAAGGAAGGAAACACAGUGAAAUCGGAAUCGUUUUUUCUGUCUGAAAUUCGCAGGCGCGCUCGUUUCUCUGUUGAACAGCUUCGAAUCGCUUGCCGGCAGCUGCAGAUCAAUUCGAGUUUCACCUGAAUGCUCCUUCUGGACUCGAUUUAGAUCGAGUUCUUCAUACCCUGGUAGUGUGGGAAAUUUAUAUGAAGAACGGGAUGAUAGAAUGCAGUGUUUGCCAUUCCAAAUUGGUUUCCCCUUCCGCCAAAACUAUCUCAAGGGCUUAUGAUCGCCACAAAAAUAGGAUAACAUCCAAGCAACGUGUACUCAAUGUCUUUUUGGUUGUUGGUGAUUGUGUUCUUGUAGGCUUCCAGCCUAUCCUUGUCUAUAUGUCCAAGGUGGAUGGGAAGUUCAAUUUUAGCCCUAUUAGUGUUAAUUUUUUGACCGAGAUUACAAAGGUUUUCUUUGCUAUUGUUAUGCUUAUUCUCCAGGCUAGGCAUCAAAAAGUUGGGGAGAAACCUCUUCUCUCAAUUUCUACAUUCAUGCAGGCAGCUCGUAGCAAUGCCCUUCUGGCAGUUCCUGCACUUCUGUAUGCUAUAAACAACUAUCUGAAGUUUAUCAUGCAGCUUUAUUUUAACCCUGCUACUGUGAAGAUGUUAAGUAAUUUAAAGGUUUUAGUAAUAGCACUUUUGCUAAAGGUGAUUAUGAAGCGUCAGUUUUCCGUCAUUCAGUGGGAAGCUCUUGCUCUCUUGCUCAUUGGUAUAAGCGUUAAUCAGCUAAGAUCUUUACCUGAAGGAACUACAGCUUUGGGUCUUCCUGUCACAAUGGGUGCAUAUCUCUAUACAUUGAUCUUUGUCACUGUUCCAUCAUUGGCCUCUGUUUAUAAUGAGUACGCAUUGAAGAGCCAAUAUGAUACAAGCAUUUAUCUGCAGAAUCUAUUCUUAUAUGGAUAUGGAGCUAUAUUCAAUUUUCUUGGGAUACUCGGGACUGCUAUUUUCAAAGGGCCUAGUAGCUUUGAUAUACUACAAGGUCAUUCAAAAGCCACGAUGCUAUUGAUCGCAAACAACGCUGCUCAAGGGAUUUUAUCCUCUUUCUUCUUCAAAUAUGCAGAUACAAUUUUGAAGAAGUACUCAUCAACGGUAGCCACAAUCUUUACUGGUAUAGCAUCUGCUGUACUAUUUGGACAUACUUUAACAAUGAACUUCGUUAUCGGCAUUUCUAUUGUAUUCAUCUCAAUGCACCAGUUCUUUUCACCAAUUGCAAAAGCUAAAGAUGAACAGAAUGGUAUGCUGGAACUGCAUGAUGUUCAUGACAGACAAAGAUCAAAGGAUUCCUUUAUAAAUAUGGCAGCUGGAGCAAAUGAGGAGGCUUCUCAUCGCGUGGGACAUGAUGAGAGACAGCCACUUCUUCCCUCCUAGAUUGAUCUACUGUAUGUUCUCUGUCCUUUUCUAGCCCAAGCUAUACCUGUGAGUUUUCAUAAAAAACAAUUGGUUAUAUUGCUGGUAUCAUUUGACCACGUCACACAUUUUAAAGUCAAAAUAAAGUAAAAGAAAAUUAUUUCUGCCUUUCUGGGAUAGCUUUCCUCUGAUGGGAUUCUCUCUACUUGGUUCAUGAAGAAAGGCAUGGAAUCUUGACUUCAGGAACUGGUCAACAAGCCAUGACUUUCAGCUGCUGAAGAUUUUGAUAGAGCAUAGAGAAUGGCUACGCAAGAGCUUUAGGCAUAUCAAUGUGGAUUCACGUGUACUACAUUUUUUUUUCUUGGACAUUAUAUUUCUCUUUCUCAAUUUGCUUUGAUGGUAUAUUUACCUUAUCCUGGCCUAGAAGAAUUAUUGUGUUAUUAUUUACAUUUAUUACAUGAUUUUGGCAUUUCAUCUUUAUGAAAUUACAGUUAAAUAAAGUGAGUUCCUUUGUAGAAAGUGGUGUUGGGGUGCAUAUAAAAAGCAAUGGGAAAUAUCAUGUUUACAGA